rnacentral:rRNA from 1 species
GACGAACGCUGGCGGCGUGCCUAAUACAUGCAAGUUGAGCGCUGAAGGUUGGUACUUGUACCAACUGGAUGAGCAGCGAACGGGUGAGUAACGCGUGGGGAAUCUGCCUUUGAGCGGGGGACAACAUUUGGAAACGAAUGCUAAUACCGCAUAAAAACUUUAAACACACGUUUUAAGUUUGAAAGAUGCAAUUGCAUCACUCAAAGAAGAUCCCGCGUUGUAUUAGCUAGUUGGUGAGGUAAAGGAUCACCCAGGCGAUGAUACAUAGCCGACCUGAGAGGGGGAUCGGCCAAAUUGGGACUGAGACACGGCCCAAACUCCUAAGGGAGGCAGCAGUAGGGAAUCUUCGGCAAUGGACGAAAGUCUGAACGAGCAAAGCCGCGUGAGUGAAGAAGGGUUUCGGAUCGUAAAAAUCUGUUGGUAGAGAAGAAAGUUGGGGAGAGUGGAAAGCGCAUCAAGUGACGGUAACUACCCAGAAAGGGACGGCUAACUACGUG